rnacentral:rRNA from 1 species
UCCCUGAUGUUAGCGGCGGACGGGUGAGUAACACGUGGGUAACCUGCCUGUAAGACUGGGAUAACUCCGGGAAACCGGGGCUAAUACCGGAUGCUUGUUUGAACCGCAUGGUUCAAACAUAAAAGGUGGCUUCGGCUACCACUUACAGAUGGACCCGCGGCGCAUUAGCUAGUUGGUGAGGUAAUGGCUCACCAAGGCAACGAUGCGUAGCCGACCUGAGAGGGUGAUCGGCCACACUGGGACUGAGACACGGCCCAGACUCCUACGGGAGGCAGCAGUAGGGAAUCUUCCGCAAUGGACGAAAGUCUGACGGAGCAACGCCGCGUGAGUGAUGAAGGUUUUCGGAUCGUAAAGCUCUGUUGUUAGGGAAGAACAAGUGCCGUUCAAAUAGGGCGGCACCUUGACGGUACCUAACCAGAAAGCCACGGCUAACUACGUGCCAGCAGCCGCGGUAAUACGUAGGUGGCAAGCGUUGUCCGGAAUUAUUGGGCGUAAAGGGCUCGCAGGCGGUUUCUUAAGUCUGAUGUGAAAGCCCCCGGCUCAACCGGGGAGGGUCAUUGGAAACUGGGGAACUUGAGUGCAGAAGAGGAGAGUGGAAUUCCACGUGUAGCGGUGAAAUGCGUAGAGAUGUGGAGGAACACCAGUGGCGAAGGCGACUCUCUGGUCUGUAACUGACGCUGAGGAGCGAAAGCGUGGGGAGCGAACAGGAUUAGAUACCCUGGUAGUCCACGCCGUAAACGAUGAGUGCUAAGUGUUAGGGGGUUUCCGCCCCUUAGUGCUGCAGCUAACGCAUUAAGCACUCCGCCUGGGGAGUACGGUCGCAAGACUGAAACUCAAGGAAUUGACGGGGGCCCGCACAAGCGGUGGAGCA